GAGAGACCAAAGUUUUGAAAAUCUUAUCGAACAAGUUAGAGGAUAAAUCUUUAAUUAACUACUGUAGCUGAUGGAUAAUAUCCCACUUCAGUCUCUCUGUGGUAGUUUCGCUCCAGUUUUAAUUCAAAAUGGUCAUCAAGAUUUUUUAAAGUAAACUUUGCUCUAUGUGGAGCAAGAGAGCCUUGAAGAUUUAUGUCUUAAUAACAUCAGUGGCAGGUGCUUUGACAAUUUGGUUAAAGGGCUAGCUGUGGCUCAGUCUGGCGUACUCAGGUUACUGAUGCAACAGGCUCUGAAAUUAUGUUCCAUUCCUGAAAAGAGGGAGUUCUGCACUACUGGAGAUGGCGAAUUUUGGAAACAGAUGUGAGAUGAUGGUUUUAUAUUCCCUCUCAGGAUGAAAUGACAAGAUCCCAUGAAGUGGUUUGAAGAUAUGCCCAAUAUCUUAGCUAACGGUUAUUCUUCAGUCAACUUCAGAGGAAAUCUUCAAGGUUGAACAGAUGACACUGGAGAGGAACAAUCUCAUUUACCAAGGAAAAAUAAGCAAGAACAUUAUUUCUUCUCAUUUCUAUUCUGCUCAACAGAAAGGAGGCUGAUCUGUCAGGAAGGUGAAUACUCGCAAGGCAGCAGGCCCUGAUGGAGUACCUGAUCACAACUCUUUGUGUACACUUCCAAGUGCAGGCAGUUUCCGGGUUACAUAAGGAUUCCACUCCUGAGAGCUAUCCAUAAGAUUUCCAGUAUUUGCAGUUUUUUCUUUGUGCUUGCUGCUGUUUUAUUGGUUUCCCCCACCACAACCGAAGAGGCAUGGCACUAUGUUACAGCAACCUCACCAUUUUGGAUCAGAUCAAUGAAUCCGCUUUGAAUCAGAUUAUAUCUUCUGUGCGGUGGUGUGCUGGGACAACCCGUCAACACAGCUGAUGCCAAGAGGCUCAGUAAACUGAUUAGAAAGGAGUCAAAGGAGUCUGUUAUAGGAGUCAAACUGGACAAACUGGUGUUUGUGAUAGAACAAAGGACCCUACAGAAAAUCCUUGACAAUUCUGGACAAUGUUUCUCACCCUGUGCAUGCCACCUUGGCUGAACAGAGUAGCACUUUUAGUGAUAGACUAAGAAAACUGUCCUGCUUCAAAGAGCGUGACAUGAGGUCAUUUUUACCCUUGGCUAUUAGACUCUAUAAUGAGUCAAAAUACAGGCGGGGAAGAGAUGACCCCCUCCUAUUAGACUGUUUGAGAUAACUUAUAUUUUAUUCUUUCUUACUUCUAAUAUUUGUAUAUCUGUGCACAUGUAAUGCUACUGUGACACCGUAAUUUCCUUUGGGAUCAAAAAAGUAUCUAUCUAUCUAUCUAUCAAUCAGCAAGUAAACAUCAUCAGAUCGGGAAAAAGGGGUAAUGUCAGUGAGCCAGUGAUGACAAGCUCUGGUCACUAAAAAUUAAUUAAGCCAUUAAAAAUAUCUAAUUAAUAAAGUAUAUAAGACAAUUAAAAUUGUUUCAAAUAAUUAAGACCAAUGGAAGAUUGAGGAGACUGUAUUAGUCCAUAAGACUAUACGACAUAGGAGCAGAAUUAGGCCAUUCAGCCCUUCAAGUCUGCUCCGCCAUUUCAUUAUGGCAGAUCAUAGUAGUGAUCAUAACAUGAUAAGAUUUUAUCUACAAUUUGAGAGGGAUAAGGGCAGAUCAGAGGUGUCAGUGUUGCAAUUAAAUAAAGGAGACUACGGAGCCAUGAGGGAAGAGCUGGCCAAAGUUAAAUGGGCGGAUGCCCUGGCAGGAAAGACAGUGGAUCAGCAGUGGCAGAUAUUCUUGGGCAUAAUACAAAAAAUGCAAAAGCAGUUCAUUCCAAUGAGAAGGAAGGAUUCAA